rnacentral:lncRNA from 1 species
UUUGAAUAUAAUUUAGUGUAUUAAUCAUUGUAUAUUUCAAAUUUUGAAGUGUUUAUGUGUAAUAUUUCAUCUAGCGUACGCAUUAUUUUAGCAUACAGAUUGUUUAAUCGAAUAAUAUGUAGUGUAUUGAUCAGUUUCAGAGAGGGAUAGAUAAUCGCAUAAUAUGUAGUGUAUUGAUCAGUUUCAGAGAGAGAUAGAACAGAUUUGAUCGCCAGAGAAAGAUAGAACAUAUUUGAUCACCGGUGAAGGACCUUCGGCCAACGACUGUUUUAGAGAUAGGCACCUUAAAAGAAAUUCAAAGAGUAUAUGACGGCUCAUGCAUAACAUUUUGAUCGUUAUCCUGAGACUAUAUGAGCCAACAAUUCGAUAUCGAUGAGAAUAUGCGAGUUGUGCUGAUUGACUUGCUCAUUGAGGUUUUCCAGUGA